CUAGGGGCUCGGCGGGCGGGAGGAUCCGCGCUGCUGGGCUGGGAGGACCCGCGGGAAGGAGGAGGUGAACCACCUGGGGCGCAGUCCAGGUGGUGUCGUUCCACGUCGGAAGCUUUUCUGCAUUGAUGGUAUGAUGAAUUCGAUACACAGUGGUGAUGUUGAAGACCUGGUGGAGGAACACACAGAGGAACUGUCUACAGAACUUCAGCAACUUCUGGCUGAGCAACAGAGAAUGGCAGCUGAGGAGCUUUCUGGAGAGGAGGGGGAGGAUCAACAAUCAGUGCAGCAAAGUUCUUCUAAAAGAAAGGAAAUCCUGAAAAACUGGAUGGACUUUACAAUUGUUGAGACCUAGUGAGCCAGAAACAGGUCCUAGUGAGCUACAAACUCUCCCAAGGAGACAGGACGUCUUACGGAAGAGACUUUCCCUCCAAACAAUAUCCACCUUCCAUUUCAUCCUCCCUUCCUGCAAGCCAAAGAUGUCAACUUGCAUGGUGAGUACCAUAUGAAAUUUUUGUUUCUGUUAAACUAGGGACAUUUUGUAACUUUUUGGUGAAUACAUCAGGAAAAUUAUUGAUGUUCUGAUAAAUUAUGUACAUUAUACAAUUCUUUUUAUUAUGAAAAGGUUAGUUAUGGGAUGAUUUGGGAGGUUCAGAAUACAUUAUGGGUAUUUCCAUGUUUUCUUAUGGGAAAAUAGUCUUGACUUACAACCCCCUUGAGUUAUAUCCAAUCCUCCUGAGCAAAUUGAAUUGGUAAGUCAAGAAUAUGCUAUAACGAUGGCAUAGAGAAUAUACACACAAAACAGUAGAAGAUGUGAAUGCUUGGAAUUUGCAUGAAAUGCUGAAGAUUUUCAAUUAUAUGAAUUUAUCAAUAAAAUAAGUCAAAGCAACUUAAAUGUCUCUCUCUUCCCUUCUGCAUGUAUGUGUGUGUGUAUAAGUGAGGAUUAAACUCAGGGCCUUCACAUUUAGUUACACCCAGCGUUUUUUUUUUUUUUUUUUUUUUUUUUUUUUGUACCAGUGAUUGAACUCUGGUUCUUGUGCUUGUAAGGCAGACGGUGGAACCACUGAGCUAAACCCCGGGCCUACCCGCCCCAUCUCUUUUUACUUAAUUUUGAGACAGUCUCAUUAAACUGCUUCAAUUGGCCUCAAACUUGCAAUCCUCCUUAGCCUCCCAGAGUGCUGGGAUUAUAGGCAUGCUGUUCUCUCUGAUUAUGUGACCAAAUUACCAUAAGUGUUUAUAUUUACUUAUACAAAGUCCACCAGAAAAAUGUAUACACACUUCAGGAAAAGAAAAAUAGUAUUUUUUUUUUUAACAGAUGGUGUUAUCCUUGUAUGGGAGUCCCUAGAGGAUGGUGUAUAUCACAGAAAACCCACUACACUACCAGGUCUUAAAAGAAAUUGAAAAAUCCAUGCGCAGCAAUCUCAAUAGCCAAGGUUACCCAAACAACUGUUCACCAUAUUAAUAAAUGUAUGGAAGCUAAUGGCCACCAUUUUGAGCACCUCUUUAAAUU
rnacentral:lncRNA from 1 species